UACGGGGGGAGCAAGCGUUGUUCGGAUUUAUUGGGCGUAAAAGGCUUGUAGGUGGCCACGCCAAGUCGGAUGUGAAAUCUCCCGGCUCAACUGGGAGGGGUCAUUCGAUACUGGCGGGCUCGAGGCCGGUAGGGGGAAGUGGAAUUCCCGGUGCAGUGGUGGAAUGCGUAGAUAUCGGGAGGAACACCAGUGGCGAAGGCGGCUUCCUGGACCGGUUCUGACACUGAGGAGCGAAAGCGUGGGGAGCGAUCCGG
rnacentral:rRNA from 1 species